ACCUGCAUGUUUCUGCUUUGCAUGCCCCCUCCCCCAAUACACACACCCCUAGGAGACCUGGGGCAGCCCCUCCCAGUCUCAGUCUCCACUGGCCGGCUCUCCACAGCGGACCAGGGUGCAUGGCACAUGGCAGAGACUCAGUAAGUCAGGGGUCAAGGUGACCUCAAGCUGGGACUCUGCUGCUCAGGCAAGUAGACACUUGAUCAGGUGGCCUGGGGCCCAGCCUUCUCUGGACACUGGCCAUGACCUUGGCCUGAGCCCUUGGGGAGGGGGACACAGGUCAGCUCAGGACUCACAGCUCCUGCUCACACUUACUGAGGGCUUACUGUGUGCUAUGAGCUUUCCUCAACCCGUCUGAUGGUAUCUCAUAAUAACCCCAUGAAUUAUGGCUCCAUUUUAUGGAUGGGGAAACUGAGUCUCAGAGAGGUUAAGCCAGCUGCCCAAGGUCACACAGGUAGAAGCAGAGGUGGCUGAGUUUGAAUCCAGAGACGAACUGCUUCUCUCCUGAGACAACAGGCGCGUGAGCUAGGAGAGGCCUCACAGGGCAUCACAACGACCACCCCAGGGAACAGCCGGGCAAACUGAGGCUGCCGCCGUCGCACAGACCCUGUGCUGGCAUCUGGACACAGACGGGGCGCUCGGAGAAACCCAUCUCACAGGUGGGGCUGCUGAGGCCCACCGAGACCACCCAGCGCUCGCCCAGCCUGCACCCGUCUUGCCCAACCCCACGCUGCUCCUCUGGGGUGGGAGGCCUCCACAUCUGCACCCCCUGCUCUGCUCUGCCCCCCUGAACCCAUCCCCUGAUCGGCAGCCCCCUGGGCACGAGCCGCGGCCCCAGCGCCCCCGCCUGGCACGACUCCCCCACCUGGCACUCCUGCAGCCACAGUUUAGCACUUAGUUAUACACUCUGCUCACCAAUGAUCCUUGACUUGCGUGGGCUCCUGGAGGUAGGCGGCGCUCGCAGCCACUGGCACAGCCUCCGCGAGGCCGGCCUCCUGUCGCCUGGGCCGGGGGGCCACGCCCGCAGCCUGGAGCCCACGGUGUCCCACUGGUGGCCACGGGCACAGGACCGAGGCAGCCCAUCCAAUCCCUUUACAAGUGUUCAUCUGCCCCGCACCCCGUCCCUGCCCCCCUGCGGCCCCCGGGGAGCGGGCUGAGACCGUCUGCAGCCAGCGGCAGGCCAACCGCCCCCAGUUCUUCCUGAGCACUCUCACCCGCAAAGCCUGCGGCCAAGCCAGUGGCGGCGCCUUCCGACCCUGCCCCAGACGCACGCAGAAUCGCCCCCGCCAGCUCCACGCCGUCCCCCGAGUCCAAGCGGCCUCCCUCCCACUGGAUGACGGGGCUCCUCCUGGGACCACCCCCCCGCACCCCCAGACCCCCAGCAGUCCAUCCUCCACCCACAGCCGGAGGAAGCACAACGUCCCUCCCAAACUCUGCUCCACACGGCGAAAGAAGCUCUUCACGGAGGCCUCUUCGUCCUUGCUGCUCCCUCGCUCUUGACCUCCAUCCUCUCGUGCUUCCGCCCCAUCACCUGGACAUCUCGGCUCUGCCCUCCUCAGACUCCCCUUUGCCUCUGAGAGAAGGUCCCAGCCCACAGUCAAGGCCCUCAGUGACCCGUCUGCCCUGCCUCUCCCCGGCCACUCCAUCCCCCGCCCCUGUGGAAUCCUACACUGCUUGAAAACCAGCUAAAACCUGACAGCAGAGGGUCCCGGCAGACAGGACCUUAACCAGUGCUCAAGGUCAACACGCCUGUGUCUCAGGACCCCUGACGUGAGGUGAUGGGGGCGCCCGUCUCUGGGUCUUCUGUCUGCAAACCCACAACUCGGUGGAAUCGCGAGAAAGUGACAAACGCAAGCUGAGGGACGGACGUCCUACAGAGUAACCGGGCCGUGCUCUUCCAGAGGGUCAGCGGGCCCUAAGGGACUCAUGGAGGACGAGCCCGGAGGGACCAGGAGGCCAGGUGGGGUCCUGGACGGGACCCUGGGCCAGAAGGAGGACGCGGUGGGAGACAUGGAGACUCUUCAGUCAGCAGUGUCCACCGACUUCAUUUCUUAGCCACGAUCAACGCGCCCGGUCACGUAGCGCAUUCGGGAAGCUCCUAGCUUUGUGCCUCCUUGGUCAAACUCAAGUUAUUCCAGAAGGAAAAGUUUAGAAAUUCCAGAGGCUUAAAAAUUCGUUGCUGUGGUUCUCACUAUAGCAUAAUACGUGCUCAGUGAAAUAACUCAAAUCAGCAGAGACUCGAGGUGCCGUCGGCACCGCCUGCCCCGGGAGAAGCCCUUGCGUUUCCGCACCUGCGCAGAGAUUACUGCCAUUCCUCUGUUUCAUCACAGAUGUAAGCACACUCUGUCCCGCCAGCGCUAAGGGUCGCGGAGAAACUGGUUUGCUGGGAACACAGAAGUGGUGGCCCUGCGGGGAGAGGCCUGGC